rnacentral:ncRNA from 1 species
GACCUCUGGAAAGCAGGCGCGCUUGAAAAGGCGCGAACCUCACCGAAGAUGUAAGCCUGUGCGUGGUCGAACCCUCGUCCCGGCGAAUCUUUCAGGUUCCGAAGACAGAGGGGGGCCG